ACUCCUGCGGGAGGCAGCAGUGGGGAAUAUUGGACAAUGGGCGCAAGCCUGAUCCAGCCAUGCCGCGUGAGUGAUGAAGGCCCUAGGGUUGUAAAGCUCUUUCACCGGUGAAGAUAAUGACGGUAACCGGAGAAGAAGCCCCGGCUAACUUCGUGCCAGCAGCCGCGGUAAUACGAAGGGGGCUAGCGUUGUUCGGAUUUACUGGGCGUAAAGCGCACGUAGGCGGACUAUUAAGUCAGGGGUGAAAUCCCGGGGCUCAACCCCGGAACUGCCUUUGAUACUGGUAGUCUUGAGUUCGAGAGAGGUGAGUGGAAUUCCGAGUGUAGAGGUGAAAUUCGUAGAUAUUCGGAGGAACACCAGUGGCGAAGGCGGCUCACUGGCUCGAUACUGACGCUGAGGUGCGAAAGCGUGGGGAGCAAACAGGAUUAGAUACCCGAGUAGUCC
rnacentral:rRNA from 1 species